GAUGAACGCUGGCGGCGUGCCUAAUACAUGCAAGUCGAGCGAACGGACGAGAAGCUUGCUUCUCUGAUGUUAGCGGCGGACGGGUGAGUAACACGUGGAUAACCUACCUAUAAGACUGGGAUAACUUCGGGAAACCGGAGCUAAUACCGGAUGAUAUUUUGAACCGCAUGGUUCAAAAGUGAAAGACGGUCUUGCUGUCACUUAUAGAUGGAUCCGCGCUGCAUUAGCGAGUUGGUAAGGUAACGGCUUACCAAGGCAACGAUGCAUAGCCGACCUGAGAGGGUGAUCGGCCACACUGGAACUGAGACACGGUCCAGACUCCUACGGGAGGCAGCAGUAGGGAAUCUUCCGCAAUGGGCGAAAGCCUGACGGAGCAACGCCGCGUGAGUGAUGAAGGUCUUCGGAUCGUAAAACUCUGUUAUUAGGGAAGAACAUAUGUGUAAGUAACUGUGCACAUCUUGACGGUACCUAAUCAGAAAGCCACGGCUAACUACGUG
rnacentral:rRNA from 1 species